rnacentral:lncRNA from 1 species
ACCCAGAAAACAGAAAACGUGGUCGUGGUACCUACUUUGACCAGUCUUUGUGCUCAUAAUAUUUGAUGGUUAGGUGAUCUUAAGGCAUGAUAUUGUAGAUCAUAUUACCUACUACAACAUAGAUGAAACACAAACAAUAAAUCGACAAACAACUUGAAGAUCAGAGCCUAAGAACAUCUUGUCAGACGUUUCUGGGCACGAUCUGGGUUUUCCAGAAAUCCGAUAGUCAUGGUCGGUCAAUGAUUUUUGACCACCCGUAACUUUCAUUCUGUGCACGAUCUGGGCUAGAUUAAAGUUCCAGAAUACAGACCACUUGACAUACUAUAAUUACCAACGCUCAAAACACAAAAACCAAACACAGAAAUAGAUGUCAGACAACACAAAAAUUUUUCUCAGAUUUUCUUAAAAUGCCAAAUCCGAGCCUCUACAUGUUAUGGAUCUAACAUCUAGCAACCCAGAUCAUCUUUAUACACUACAGAUAACAUAUUCUAACACUCAAUCAUAACAUUUAACAACGGAUCAAUGGUCAGAUUUUAAGCUAGGGUUUUAUACCUUCUUUGAUAAAUUUUGAUUUAUGGCUUCUGAUAUGUUAUGGCUGAUCGUGGGGCUGUUCUUAGGGACUGAUCUAGCUAAUAAUUUCGGAGGUUUGGAGUUUGGGAGAGAUAGGUUGAGUGUUUGGAGAAAAUGAGAGCAAAUGAUCACUUUUCUCUCUCUAACUGUAUAUAUAACAUGUUGUAAUGCAUUGGCUGAGACAUGGCUGCUGAUUUGUGUUGAUUUCAGUCACUCUAAGAAGUCAAGAGUUGUCCAACAACCCCAACAACUCUAACACUUGGCAAAAACCAAUAAUGUAAGAGGGGUAUAAUGGUCUUUUCGCAUGGAAUUUUAAGGGCAAUCUUGUAAUCAUGCAAACCCUUAGGGUUUGACCCUUAGGGUUUAACCCUAAGGUUUAGUACAUAGCAUUUGUAGGAUUUAGCAAUUAGGGUUUGCACAAAAUAAAAAAUAAAAUAAAAAUUUUAGUUUCUAAAAUUUUGAAAUUAGGGUUUCUUAAUUAUGAUUAAUUUUCUAAUUAAUUUAUACAGGAACAUUAGGGUUUAAUAUCUCUAAUUAUAAUUAACUUUGCUAAUUUAACAAUUAGGGUUUACAAUUAGUAAUUAGGUUUUAUAAUUACUAAUUAGGGUUACUAAAUAUAGAAAUUAGGGUUUCUAAUUUAGUAAUUAGGGUUUUCAUGAUUAACAAUUAUAAUUCUAAUACUUGUAAAUU